rnacentral:rRNA from 1 species
GAUGAACGCUAGCGGCAGGCUUAAUACAUGCAAGUCGAGGGGCAGCGGGGUAGCAAUACCGCCGGCGACCGGCAAACGGGUGCGGAACACGUACACAACCUUCCUUAAGGUGGGAGAUAG